CAUCUGAGUCUGAGAGUUUUGGUUCUUCAAGUGUUAAAAGAAAUCAACAAAGUUCUGUGUAUAGUUGGGAUGAUUUUGAUGACUAUUGUGCAAAAGUUGAAACUUCGGAGACUAAGAGAUCUGAAUUGGUAGAUUAUCUUGAAAAGGGUUGUCUUAAGAAGAAUGAGAUUCCUAAAAUUUUUUCGUGUUUAGAAUGGUGGAAGAUGAAUAGAAUGCAAUAUCCAAUAUUGUCAAAGAUGACAGCUGAUAUUUUAGCUAUCCCAGUGAGUUCAGUGGCUUCAGAAGCAACAUUUAGUGCAGGGACGAGAGUUAUUGAUUCUUAUCGUUCAUCACUAUCUCCGGACACAGUGCAAGCUCUUCUAUGUGGGGGUGAUUGGCUUCAAAAGAUACAUGGACUGAAAAAAAAAGACUAAAAAAGAGAAAACUUACCAGGAAAUUUUUCUUCCAGUAUCUACCUCUUAAAAACAAGUCAUUGUCAUCCAAUCCAUGUAUUGAAGACGAAGUGCAGGUGAUAUAACUGAGAAUUUGAGAUGAAGGAAGAUAUUGAACGUGGCAAAAAUUUGAUAUUUUGAG